rnacentral:miRNA from 1 species
UAUUGCACAUCUCCCGGCCUAC